UACGUAGGUGGCGAGCGUUGUCCGGAUUUAUUGGGCGUAAAGCGCCCGCAGGCGGCCUGUCAAGUUUCAGGUGAAAUCUCCUGGCUUAACUGGGAGGGGUCCUGGAAAACUGUCAGGCUUGAGGCAGGGAGAGGGAUGUGGAAUUCCCGGUGUAGUAGUGAAAUGCGUAGAUAUCGGGAGGAACACCAGUGGCGAAGGCGGCAUCCUGGCCCUGUCCUGACGCUCAGGGGCGAAAGCGUGGGGAGCAAACCGG
rnacentral:rRNA from 1 species